rfam:Ictidomys tridecemlineatus contig066565, whole genome shotgun sequence.
GGGGCUGUAGCUCAGUGGUAGAGCACUUGCCUCAUACGAGUGAGGCCCUGGGUUCGAUCCUCAGCACCA